UGGGGAAUUUUGACAAUGGGGGCAACCCUGAUCCAGCCAUGCCGCGUGAGUGAAGAAGGCCUUCGGGUUGUAAAGCUCUUUCGGCCGGGAAGAAAUCGCAUGGGCUAAUACCCUGUGUGGAUGACGGUACCGGAAUAAGAAGCACCGGCUAACUACGUGCCAGCAGCCGCGGUAAUACCUAGGGUGCGAGCGUUAAUCGGAAUUACUGGGCGUAAAGCGUGCGCAGGCGGUUUAGUAAGACAGGCGUGAAAUCCCCGGGCUCAACCUGGGAACUGCGCUUGUGACUGCUAAGCUAGAGUACGGCAGAGGGGGGUGGAAUUCCACGUGUAGCAGUGAAAUGCGUAGAGAUGUGGAGGAACACCGAUGGCGAAGGCAGCCCCCUGGGCCGAUACUGACGCUC
rnacentral:rRNA from 1 species